rfam:Pristionchus pacificus strain PS312 contig10183, whole genome shotgun sequence.
CUAGUCGAUCCUCUUUCCCAUUCACUCUUCUCGUCAGUCGAUGAUUGAAUAUCGAAUGACAGAUCAGUGCGCGAGAAGGAAGACUAG